GAUGAGCGCUGGCGGCGUGCUUAACACAUGCAAGUCGAACGGAAAGGCUCCUGCUUGCAGGGGUACUCGAGUGGCGAACGGGUGAGUAACACGUGGGUGAUCUGCCCUGCACUUCGGGAUAAGCCUGGGAAACUGGGUCUAAUACCGGAUAAGACGAUGGUUUGGAUGCCAUUGUGGAAAGUUUUUUCGGUGUGGGAUGAGCUCGCGGCCUAUCAGCUUGUUGGUGGGGUAAUGGCCUACCAAGGCGUCGACGGGUAGCCGGCCUGAGAGGGUGUACGGCCAUAUUGGGACUGAGAUACGGCCCAGACUGCUACGGGAGGCAGCAGUGGGGAAUAUUGCACAAUGGGCGCAAGCCUGAUGCAGCGACGCCGCGUGGGGGAUGACGGCCUUCGGGUCGUAAACUCCUUUCGCUAGGGACGAAGCGCAAGUGACGGUACCUGGAGAAGAAGCACCGGCUAACUACGUG
rnacentral:rRNA from 1 species